CCUACGGGUGGCUGCAGUGAGGAAUAUUGGUCAAUGGGCGUAAGCCUGAACCAGCCAAGUCGCGUGAGGGAUGAAGGUUCUAUGGAUCGUAAACAUCUUUUAUAAGGGAAUAAAGUGUGGGACGUGUCCUAUUUUGUAUGUACCUUAUGAAUAAGGAUCGGCUAACUCCGUGCCAGCAGCCGCGGUAAUACGGAGGAUCCGAGCGUUAUCCGGAUUGAUUGGGUUUAAAGGGUGCGUAGGCGGCCUUUUAAGUCAGCGGUGAAAGUCUGUGGCUCAACCAUAGAAUUGCAUGUGAAACUGGCGGGCUUGAGUAUGUUUGAGGCAGGCGGAAUGCGUGGUGUAGCGGUGAAAUGCUUAGAUAUCACGCAGAACCCCGAUGGCGAAGGCAGCCUGCCAAGCCAUGACUGACGCUGAUGCACGAAAGCGUGGGGAUCAAACAGGAUUAGAUACCCUAGUAGUC
rnacentral:rRNA from 1 species